AUGGCUGACAGCAGAAAGGACACGGCGACGAUGUUCGACGACGAUGAGCCCAAACACAACGUUGAUCUCGACGACGAUGACGACAGUGAUGUCUUCACCUCGGCCCUCCAGGAUCAUCACAUGCAAGGGAAUAAUUCCUCAUACAAUGGCGAAUCGACUAUGCAAGCAGAACUACCCAAGUUAUCGUUGCGAGAUGCUAUACAGGACAACUCUCUCUCGACUCUUUCAAGUCCUGCCGCACCAUCUGGUCCACUUAGUCCACCCUUGGAUCCAACAGGAACUGACAUAGGUGAUUUACAUGAUGUUCCCAUUAAUGACGAUGGAGAUAUAUCCACAAACAUUCACAAAUCUCAAUCAAUGGAAGAGGUGCCAACAGAAUCUUCUGAUUUAUUUGUGGAAAUAACUGUGACAUCUCCUCAAAAAAUGGGUGAUGGCAUGGGAUCGUACGUUGCUUACAGAGUUGAGACAAAAACUAAUAUUCAGCUGUUUAAGAAGAGAAAUUUCAGCGUAAACAGACGUUUUAGUGAUUUUCUCGGUUUGCAUGAUAAACUCACGGAAAAAUACUUACGCAGUGGUAGAAUUAUACCUCCAGCUCCUGAAAAAAGUGUCAUAGGCACAACAAAAGUGAAAAUGUCGGGAGAAAUGAGCCAAGAGCAAAAUUCUGGUUCCUCAGAGUUCCUGGAAAGACGCAGAGCUGCAUUAGAGCGAUUUUUAAAUAGGGUUGCCUGUCACCCUGUAUUCUGUGUAGAUCCCGAUUUUCGAGAAUUUCUUGAAGCAGAUAUGGAACUGCCUAAGGCAACUAAUACUUCUGCCCUGAGUGGUGCUGGUGUUAUGCGGUUGUUUAACAAAGUUGGAGAAACUGUGAAUAAAAUAACGUAUAAGAUGGACGAGAGUGACACGUGGUUCGAAGAAACUGUUAACCACAUUGACAGCCUUGACACUCAGCUGCGUGGCUUGCACGCAGCAGUAGAAACAUUGACGAAUCAAAGAAGAGAACUAGCUAUGCAUACAGGGGCUACAGCUCGAUCGAUCGCCGUCUUGGGACACGGUGAAUCUGAAGCUUCUCUCGGCAGAGCCUUAGCACAGCUGGCGGAGACCUUCGAGAAGGUCGAAGUCGUUAGGAAGGCUCAGGGAAACAGCGAUUUAUAUCAGUUCGGAGAAAUGAUUCGUGAUUACGUGGCCCUCAUUGGAGCCAUCAAGGAUGUUUUUCACGAGCGAGUCAAGGUCUUUCAAAACUGGCAGCACGCGCAGCAAGUGCUGAACAAAAAGCGCGAACAGAAGGCGCGACUCGAGCAGACGGGACGGACGGAUAAGACGAGCCAGGCGGCGACCGAAGUUAUCGAGUGGGAGGCAAAGGUUGAGCGGGGUCAAGAGGAGUUUGAUAACAUAUCCAAGAUGAUCAGGACGGAGGUCGAACGUUUUGAGAUCGUGCGGAUACAAGACUUCAAGAAGCAGCUGGUUCAGUACCUCGAGGCUAUGCUGCAGCAUCAAAACCAACUGGUCAAGCACUGGGAAAGCUUCUUGCCGGAAGCCAAGUCCGUUGCGUGAGCUCAGACUGUCAGCAACGUGCCAUGGAUCUAUUUUUCGCUCUGUGUGUGAGCUACAUAGGGAACAGUAUAGCACCAGACGUAAUACUAGAGUGAAGCUUGUCUGGGCUUUGAGCUCGUCGUGCUUCUUCUCACCGCCAACAUAAUCAUCAUGUCAGAGGCAUUUAUUCAACUAUCCAAAUAUUGUCUAUAGUAUCUAGCUUUUAGGUACUUCAAAGAUGUACUUACAUCUUCACGUUCAAACUGUCCGAUACACACUUUUCUUCCUUCGGCGUACAUAAGUGACAUUAUAGCACUAAAAAACUAUGAGGAGAAACUAAAUAAGACGUACUUCGGAUAAUUGUCGCGACGCUGAUGAUUAAUUCAUGAGUACAAGAAGAGAUCAUACUCGUCGUAUUGGAUGCAAUUUUACCGAACGGUUUUUGUAACAAACGCAGCACUGAAGUGCAGU
rnacentral:misc_RNA from 1 species